UGUUGUAGCAAUACAGUGAAAGUUCUAGUGGCGAACGGGUGCGUAACACGUGGGCAAUCUGCCUUAAAGUGGGGGAUAGCUCGGCGAAAGCCGGAUUAAUACCGCAUGUGAUCAGGGAAGACAUCUUUCCAAAAUCAAAGUCGGGGCAACCUGACGCUUUUUGAGGAGCCCGCGGCCUAUCAGCUAGUUGGUGAGGUAACGGCUCACCAAGGCGUUGACGGGUAGCUGGUCUGAGAGGACGACCAGUCACACUGGAACUGAGACACGGUCCAGACACCUACGGGUGGCAGCAGUCGAGAAUUUUUCUCAAUGGGGGAAACCCUGAAGGAGCGACGCCGCGUGGAGGAUGAAGGUCUUCGGGUUGUAAACUCCUGUCAUUUGGGAACAAUGCUUACGUAGUAACUGUACGUGAGUUGAUAGUACCAGAAGAGGAAGAGACGGCUAACUCUGUGCCAGCAGCCGCGGUAAUACAGAGGUCUCAAGCGUUGUUCGGAUUCAUUGGGCGUAAAGGGUGUGUAGGUGGCAGGCUAAGUCGGGUGUGAAAUUUCGGAGCUUAACUCCGAAACUGCAUUCGAUACUGGCGUGCUUGAGGACUGGAGAGGAGACUGGAAUUCACGGUGUAGCA
rnacentral:rRNA from 1 species